UGUUGAGAUGCUAAGAUAGGUGCGCUGUAGAUGUCCUGAGCAGUUAUGAUGAAGAAUAUUGUAUAGUUAGUACAGAAUUACUGUCUUUAUAGAAAAAGUAACACUUCUGAAACGUACUUCUUUACCUCAAAUGAAAUAUGGCAUAGGCAAAGGAUAUAGAAAAUGAAAUAAAUACAAAUUUAGAAAUGCAAAACACCGUGUUUGCGUAGUCAUGAGCCAAGAAAUCAGGGGAUAUUUAUUGGUGCAGAAAGUUAUUACCUACCAUCUGCCUCAUCCACUGUGUUUCCCAUCAUGAGCUGAUUUUGCCUUUAAUGUUUAAAAAUAGUUUUAAAGCACAUUUUUGGUUGGAGGUCUAGGUAAAUGUCUAUAGAGAGCUCAGCAUGAUAAGAUAUUAACAGUUAAAUUAAUGUGAAAUGUUAAAUCUAUGCUUGCGUAUCACUGUAAUGGAUCAGUGAGUUCAGUCACAUGCACAGCCUCCAAUGUCUUGUUAUAAUGGCAUUUACUGACUGUCAGAGGACAUCUGGGAGAGAUGAAAUAUCAUUUAGCGUUUUAUAAAUGUUACAAAAAAUAAUAAUUUUUUUCUAGCCAUUUAUUUUGUUAUGAUUUAGAGAAUAAUUUCCAAAGAAACAGGUAAAAAUGGGAAUGAAUUUUUUUUGUAAUCAUUCAUAUACAGUGUGAAAAAAGGUUGGGGUUUUGCUAUUUUUACAUGUUUUAUACAGGUUAAAUUAUCCCUUGAAGGAAAUUACUGAACUAAGUAACUGUUUGCCAUAGGCUGAAGGUACAGACAGCAUUAUAUUGUGUGGACUAAUUUAUUGCCCAUCUUUUUGUCUUUCACAGAAUAUGGAGAAAAUAUUUGUGGAAUUCAAUCAUAAAGAACUAUUUGAGUUCUAUAACAAGUUGGAAACAAUACAAAUGCAACUGGAUUCGCUGACGUGAUACUAUGCAAAGACUAAUUUCUCCAUCACAUUCCAACUGUUUUGAUACUGAAGAUAUAUCGACUGAAUAUAUUUGUUGAAAUACUCAACUGUCAAUAAAUGAUUUAGGUUUCUUUGAUCAUUCAUGUUAGAUAAAUGAAAUCAUUGUUAAGAAAGUUUUGGUUUCACAUGACUACAUCGUAUUCAACUUUAAAUGAAGCAAUGUACUAUAUUAUUGUGCAGACUUUUGAAUGAUAAAGUCUGCAGUUUUUGUGUUUUGUAUUUACAUUGUGGAUAGCAGUUUAUGUAAUACUGUAGCAUAAUAAACUUCACGUAAUCAUUAUCCAAAGUAUGCUUAAACAGUAGAAAAAGAUAAUUAAAUUGCUAAAACAUUGGCUCUCAUGCUGAUAUCUUACCCAUAAGAACAAUAGUAUUCUAACUUUGGACUAUUUUGGUUUAUUACUUAAUGCUUUUGAAUUUGCUGCCAGAUUUUCCAUCUAUGACAAAUAGCAAGGUUUGCUUGUUUUUGAAUGCUUCAGUGAUUGCUAAAAUGCUUUAAAGGACAAUUGCCCUCUCACGCAUCAAAAAGAGAAUAAUGAGAAUUUCUUAAGAAAUUCAGUUGUUUACUUGAUCAACAUUUUACCAUUUGAUUUUAUAGUUUCCCAGCUUGAAAGAAAUUAAAAUUAAAGUUAAAAAAACAAGGCCCUUUUUAGUAAAUCCAAAGCAGUGAGGAUGAGGUCCAGUGCUGCAAUGACGGCGGAAACGGUUGUUGAUGCAGAUUGUUGAUGGGCAUUUUAGGGUGCCUUAAUGCUAGGAAGCCACUGAGUUAUAAUGCACACAUUACCUUACUAAUUGGAAAAAGGAACGAACUAUGGAUAAUAUUUUGCAUUUCCUAGCUUUUCCUUGCUUUCUCAUUUUCAUUCAAAAAGUAGCUGCUGGGUACACCAAUAAGUGCAUUUAACAAUGCCAAUCAAAAGUCCUGGUAGGAGGUGUCUCUGCCAAGUGUCCUUGGUGUAAUAAUUAAUUGACAUUGCUCUGGUACAUUUACAAUAUCAUACUUAGAGUAGGAUUGAGCAAAUUUCAGAAAUCAUAUGGAAAUGUAUUGUGCCUCAGGUGAGCACAGCAGCACCUUUGUGGUAUUCAUUAGGGGAACCAACUUUUUUCCCAAGAAUUCAUGCAUCCCUUAACUGGAUCAGUAAAAGGAAAAUGCUUUUUUAAUUUGUUUACUCACAAACUCAAGUAGUUUAUUAUGGUUGUGCAGUUUACUUGGAGAAAUGCUUAAUUGAACAAUGUCAGAAACAAAAUGCCAUUCAAAUAUAAAGUGGACCCAACAGCAGGUUUAACUUCACCUCUUUGAUACAAAAAGUAACUCCCUCCAGGUCAGUGAGAGAGCAAUGUGAACAAAUACAGAGUACUUUGUACUAGGAACCGAAGGCUCUCCCUGUGAACAAGGAGCUUUGGCACACACACAAGCGGACAAUCAAAGCCAAUGGAAAAGCUGCCCAGCUGCAGCGAUCAGGCUUCUAGCACAAGGAGAAGGAGUCAUGAAAGCUAUGAAGUAUUUUUUUUUCCUCUUCAGAGCAGUGAGCAAUUUUCUUCGUGUCUUCUAUCUAGCGUCACAGUAGAUGGCAGAGCCCAGUGGAGAGAUAGUAACAAUAGAGAAACCACAUAGAUUUCAGAGUGACACAUCUAUCUUUGUUGCAAUCAUUACAGCAGUGAAGGAUAGGCAAGUUGAGGAAGCAGAUGUCUUAAUUAUAUCUUCGGGCAGGUCUCCGUCUUCUUUUGACAAAAGAUUCAGAAGGGUUUGAGGCCAAAGCUUAAAAAGUUCUGGUGGCCUUCCAGACAGGGCCUUCCAGACAGAUAGUAACUGAUGGAUUAAAGUGGAUGAUUUCUGCAACAGAGAUCUUCUAGCCAUCUCUAACCCUGCUAGGAGAUUAUCAGUGACUGUAUAAGUCACUUGCUUCCUCUUAUUAAUGUGGUGACUGGAGAACUACGGAUCAUGGACUUGAAUCUUGUCUGAAGAGAGAACCUAACAUUGUGUCUAAUUUGUUGGCUCAGGGCAAAAAGGAAAAGGAGAUCUCCAGGCACUAACGAUGUAGUAGCAACCUCUUCACCACCAAUGUCUUAGGUGUGUGUAUACACAGAUGAUAUGAGAAAAUCAUAAAAGAAUCAGCACAAAACUUUGGGCAGAAGUGGCUGCCUUGAUAUUUGAGUGAGCAGUACUUCCCUAAUGGCAUUGCUAUGACUUACAUAGCCUGUGGAUGAUUUAGUCAUUUAUAAAAAAACUGGAAAGGACUUUGGGGCAUAAAUGCCUUUGGUCCUAUUAAUGGGUAGGAGUGCAACUGAAUUAACCCCAAAGUUUUGUUUUUCUUUGCAAGUUUAUUCUAUAAAUAAACUUAAUGUAGGUCAGUGUAAAGCAGUGUAGGGUAACUGAAAAAUGUUUACAUUGUAAAACCUUUAAAGUUGUAUUUAUAGGGAGAAAGUGUAAUAUCAGAUUAUUAUGUGACUAAAUUAGAAAUUAUGAUUCAGAGAGAAAUUAGUUUGUAAUGUUCAAGUCAAGCCAUUAUUGAUUGGCACAUUAACACACACUUCUGCAACUUUCCUCUUUUGAUUGAAAAAUACCCAAACGUGCACUGCAGAAUGACUUUUUGCUUACAUUAAAAAUCAGUCUAAAUAGUAAUUUGUGCAAACUCUUAAACUCACUUCAAAUUCACCCCUGUCAAUUAGGAGUAACCUUCAGUUUUGCUUUACCUAUUUGUACACAAUAUGGAUAUGGACAAUCAUUAAGCAAAAUUAAUUUUGAGGCAUAGUUGAAAACAAGCACAAACCAUGCUGUUGAUUCAUCUAGUUUAAUUUAGCUUGGAGACUAUGAUAAACUGGUAAAUUUAUCAGAUUAUUAAACCAAUUUUCACCUUUCCAAAUUGUUCAUAAUUUUCAAGCUGUCAGGACUAGAGUCUCAUAGUUCAUGUACAUUUAGGUUAAUAUACUUUAAGAGUAUUGCAGCUCAAGACGCUAAAUUCUGUUAACAUGGCUGAUAUUUUUUUUUUUAAAAACAGGAUGUGUGGAUGGAAAUCUUACAAUAACUUAUAUUGUAGAUGCUUUAGAUAGUGGGGAUUGGUACUUCCAUAUUCCUGCAUGCUUUAGCAAUCUGUGCAGCAUUGACUAUAACGUUACUGAGGAAUAAGGGGCUAAAACAAUUUCAGAUUUCCAAAGGCUCUUAAAUGUUGAAGUAUUUAUACUGCCUGAAUGUUAAAAUAAAACAAGUCAAUACAAGA